CUCCCCACCUUUCGAGAGUAGUGGUUCAGCCCUCUGGGGCAAGGCGGGAGCAGUGGGGCACCAAUCAGUCCCACAGCAGGACUGUGCGGAGGAGCAGUUGUGAUCAACUUCUAAUCAACUUGUAAUCUUCAAUUGUGGUGAUGGGAACACGCAGAGCCUGCUGUCUUUUGGAAUCCAGGCAAUUCUUUCAAGUAUUCUUUCUGGGCUCCUUGUAUUGUUCAUAUAUCUUUGUCGCUCUUCCAAGCAAAGUGUAGGGGUUUUUUCCCAGAUAGAACCAGUGGAAGUCUGUCGAUGGCCUCAGCAAGUACCAGCAUGACCAAAAGAUGUCCCGAGAGCAUGAAAAUGAACCUGUGAAGUCUAUCCAGACCUUUGGCACUACAGACACUGAAUUUUUUGCAAGGCUGAGGAGUAAGAUGGGCACUCUUUGUAUGAACCUGUUGGACACUGGGAGGAGAAAUGAAGAAUUGUUAGAACCAGCUUGAGACCAACUGACUGUGCAGCACUAAUCCAUAAGAAACAAAAAACUGUUUAAAAGAUGGACUAUUAAGCCUGCAUGUAGUAAUACAAGUCACUUUUAACUUACUGGGGCAGUGUCUGGUAAUGUUUAUGUAGACAAAAAAAA